rnacentral:rRNA from 1 species
UACGGGAGGCAGCAGUGAGGAAUAUUGGUCAAUGGACGAGAGUCUGAACCAGCCAAGUAGCGUGAAGGAUGACUGCCCUAUGGGUUGUAAACUUCUUUUAUACGGGAAUAAAGUGAGGCACGUGUGCCUUUUUGUAUGUACCGUAUGAAUAAGGAUCGGCUAACUCCGUGCCAGCAGCCGCGGUAAUACGGAGGAUCCGAGCGUUAUCCGGAUUUAUUGGGUUUAAAGGGAGCGUAGGCGGACGCUUAAGUCAGUUGUGAAAGUUUGCGGCUCAACCGUAAAAUUGCAGUUGAUACUGGGUGUCUUGAGUACAGUAGAGGCAGGCGGAAUUCGUGGUGUAGCGGUGAAAUGCUUAGAUAUCACGAAGAACUCCGAUUGCGAAGGC